rnacentral:rRNA from 1 species
UACGGAGGAUCCGAGCGUUAUCCGGAUUUAUUGGGUUUAAAGGGAGCGUAGGUGGAUUGUUAAGUCAGUUGUGAAAGUUUGCGGCUCAAUCGUAAAAUUGCAGUUGAAACUGGCAGUCUUGAGUACAGUAGAGGUGGGCGGAAUUCGUGGUGUAGCGGUGAAAUGCUUAGAUAUCACGAAGAACUCCGAUUGCGAAGGCAGCUCACUAGACUGCAACUGACACUGAUGCUCGAAAGUGUGGGUAUCAAACAGG